GCAUAUCAAUAAGCGGAGGAAAAGAAACCAACCGGGAUUGCCCCCAGUAACGGCGAGUGAAGCGGCAACAGCUCAAAUUUGAAAUCUGGAGUCUUUGUUGGCUUCCGAGUUGUAAUUUGCAGAGGGAGCCUCGGAGGGCUGGUCGGUCCAAGUGCCUUGGAACAGGAUACCGCAGAGGGUGAGAGUCCCGUAUCCGGCCGACGCAGUGCUCCGUGUGAGGCCUCUUCGACGAGUCGAGUUGUUUGGGAAUGCAGCUCUAAGUGGGUGGUAAAUUCCAUCUAAAGCUAAAUACUGGCCAGAGACCGAUAGCGAACAAGUAGAGUGAUCGAAAGAUGAAAAGCACUUUGAAAAGAGAGUUAAACAGUACGUGAAAUUGUUGAAAGGGAAGCGCAUGGGGGCAGACUUGGACGCGGGGUUCAGGGUCUCUUUUUUGGAGGCGUGUACUUCCCCGCGGACAGGCCAGCAUCGGUUCUGGGGGCCGGACAAAGGCGACGGGAACGUGGCUCUCUUCGGGGAGUGUUAUAGCCCGACGUGCAAUGCGGCCACCUGGGACCGAGGACCGCGCUUCGGCAAGGAUGCUGGCGUAAUGGCCUCAUGCGGCCCGUCUUGAAACACGGACCAAGGAGUCUAACAUCUAUGCGAGUGUUUGGGUGGCAAGCCCGGACGCGCAAUGAAAGUGAACGGAGGUGGGAGCCCUUUCCCGCGUGGAGGGGGUGCAGCAUCGACCGAUCCGGACGUUUUCUGAAGGAUUUGAGUAAGAGCAUAGCUGUUGGGACCCGAAAGAUGGUGAACUAUGCGUGAAUAGGGUGAAGCCAGAGGAAACUCUGGUGGAGGCUCGCAGCGGUUCUGACGUGCAAAUCGAUCGUCAAAUUUGCGUAUAGGGGCGAAAGACUAAUCGAACCAUCUAGUAGCUGGUUCCUGCCGAA
rnacentral:rRNA from 1 species